UUUCAAUACAGGAAAAGAAACUUGAUCCACAAUGAAUCCACAACAAAGAAUAUGAAAACCAUCUUGAUCCUACAUAACAUAAUCUGAUGCGGACACAUGGAUGACUCUGUAUCCCUCUGUCUUCAGUUCCUUCACCCUGGCUCGCAAGACCGUUUGUGACAUAUCUAAAAAUGAAGUAAAACAGGCAACUUUGUCUACAUGUGUGUUUCCAGAGCUCUGGUCCUCUACAUAAAACAAAUAUAUUUGUAUGCUACAUGCCAGCAUUUUGCUUAUACUCCACUCUUGUGAUGUCUAAACUUGUAGCCUAUAACACUCUGCUAAGACUGUAUCCAAAGUAAAUCAAAUGAUGUUUUUUUUUUGAAAAAUUUACAAACCAUACACAAAAUUACAAUAGAAAAUCAAUGUAGGAUUAACUUAGUUUCCUAUUGAGUUUGGUGAUUCAAACUCGCAAUUUGAAUAAGAAGCCUAUGGCUAAAACUAAUUAAAAAUAAUAAAUGUUAGUGUUAUAUGUAGGAUUUUUUAAGUGCAGGAUGAUGAUCGUUGAGUAGGGCACAUUUGU